rnacentral:rRNA from 1 species
GGGAUAACACUUAGAAAUAGGUGCUAAUACCGCAUAAGCGCACAGCUUCGCAUGAAGGAGUGUGAAAAACUGAGGUGGUAUAUGAUGGAUCCGCGUCUGAUUAGCCAGUUGGUGAGGUAACGGCUCACCAAAGCGACGAUCAGUAGCCGGCCUGAGAGGGCGGACGGCCACAUUGGGACUGAGACACGGCCCAGACUCCUGCGGGAGGCAGCAGUGGGGGAUAUUGCACAAUGGGGGAAACCCUGAUGCAGCGACGCCGCGUGAGUGAAGAAGUAAUUCGUUACGUAAAGCUCUAUCAGCAGGGAAGAAAAUGACGGUACCUGACUAAGAAGCCCCGGCUAACUACGUGCCAGCAGCCGCGGUAAUACGUAGGGGGCAAGCGUUAUCCGGAAUUACUGGGUGUAAAGGGAGCGCAGACGGCAGUGCAAGUCUGGAGUGAAAGCCCGUGGCUUAACCACGGGACUGCUCUGGAAACUGUGCAGCUAGAGUGCAGGAGAGGCAGGCGGAAUUCCUAGUGUAGCGGUGAAAUGCGUAGAUAUUAGGAGGAACACCGGUGGCGAAGGCGGCCUGCUGGACUGUAACUGACGUUGAGGCUCGAAAGCGUGGGGAGCAAACAGGAUUAGAUACCCUGGUAGUCCACGCCGUAAACGAUGAUUACUAGGUGUCGGGGGACGAUAGUGCUCCGGUGCCGGCG